AGAGUUUGAUCAUGGCUCAGAUUGAACGCUGGCGGCAGGCCUAACACAUGCAAGUCGAGCGGUAGAGAGAAGCUUGCUUCUCUUGAGAGCGGCGGACGGGUGAGUAAUGCCUAGGAAUCUGCCUGGUAGUGGGGGAUAACGUUCGGAAACGGACGCUAAUACCGCAUACGUCCUACGGGAGAAAGCAGGGGACCUUCGGGCCUUGCGCUAUCAGAUGAGCCUAGGUCGGAUUAGCUAGUUGGUGAGGUAAUGGCUCACCAAGGCGACGAUCCGUAACUGGUCUGAGAGGAUGAUCAGUCACACUGGAACUGAGACACGGUCCAGACUCCUACGGGAGGCAGCAGUGGGGAAUAUUGGACAAUGGGCGAAAGCCUGAUCCAGCCAUGCCGCGUGUGAAGAAGGUCUUCGGAUUGUAAAGCACUUUAAGUUGGGAGGAAGGGUUGUAGAUUAAUACUCUGCAAUUUUGACGUUACCGACAGAAUAAGCACCGGCUAACUCUGUGCCAGCAGCCGCGGUAAUACAGAGGGUGCAAGCGUUAAUCGGAAUUACUGGGCGUAAAGCGCGCGUAGGUGGUUUGUUAAGUUGGAUGUGAAAUCCCCGGGCUCAACCUGGGAACUGCAUUCAAAACUGACUGACUAGAGUAUGGUAGAGGGUGGUGGAAUUUCCUGUGUAGCGGUGAAAUGCGUAGAUAUAGGAAGGAACACCAGUGGCGAAGGCGACCACCUGGACUAAUACUGACACUGAGGUGCGAAAGCGUGGGGAGCAAACAGGAUUAGAUACCCUGGUAGUCC
rnacentral:rRNA from 1 species